rnacentral:rRNA from 1 species
CCUACGGGUGGCAGCAGUCGAGAAUCUUUCACAAUGGGGGAAACCCUGAUGGUGCGACGCCGCGUGGGGGAAUGAAGGUCUUCGGAUUGUAAACCCCUGUCAUGUGGGAGCAACUUUAAAAGAUAGUACCACAAGAGGUAGAGACGGCUAACUCUGUGCCAGCAGCCGCGUUAAUACAGAGGUCUCAAGCGUUGUUCGGAAUCACUGGGCGUAAAGCGUGCGUAGGCUGUUUCGUAGGUCGUGGGUGAACGGCGCGGGCUCAACCCGCGGACGUCACAUAAUACUGCGGGACUAGAGUAUUGAGGGGGGAACCGGAAUUCUGGGUGAAGCAGUGAAAUGCG